GACGAACGCUGGCGGCGUGCUUAACACAUGCAAGUCGGACGGUGACGCUGGAGCUUGCUCCGGCUGAUCAGUGGCGAACGGGUGAGUAACACGUGAGCAACCUGCCCUUGACUCUGGGCUAACCCCGGGAAACCGGAGCUAAUACCGGAUACGAACCGCACGGGCAUCUGCGCGGUUGGAACGAUUUAUCGGUCAAGGAUGGGCUCGCGGCCUAUCAGCUGGUUGGUGGGGUAACGGCCCACCAAGGCGACGACGGGUAGCCGGCCUGAGAGGGCGACCGGCCACACUGGGACUGAGACACGGCCCAGACUCCUACGGGAGGCAGCAGUGGGGAAUAUUGCACGAUGGGCGAAAGCCUGAUGCAGCGACGCCGCGUGAGGGACGAAGGCCUUCGGGUUGUAAACCUCUUUCAGCAGAGAAGAAGCGAAAGUGACGGUACCUGCAGAAGAAGCACCGGCUAACUACGUGCCAGCAGCCGCGGUAA
rnacentral:rRNA from 1 species